rnacentral:rRNA from 1 species
UGGGGAAUUUUGCACAAUGGGCGCAAGCCUGAUGCAGCGACGCCGCGUGAGGGAUGAAGGCCUUCGGGUUGUAAACCUUUUUCGCUCAUGGUCAAGCCGCAGCUUUGGGUUGUGGUGAGGGUAGUGGGGAAAGAAGCGCCGGCUAACUACGUGCCAGCAGCCGCGGUAAUACGUAGGGCGCGAGCGUUGUCCGGAAUUAUUGGGCGUAAAGGGCUUGUAGGCGGUUGGCCGCGUCUGCCGUGAAAUCCUCUGGCUUAACUGGGGGCGUGCGGUGGGUACGGGUUGACUGGAGUGCGGUAGGGGAGACUGGAAUUCCUGGUGUAGCGGUGGAAUGCGCAGAUAUCAGGAGGAACACCGGUGGCGAAGGCGGGUCUCUGGGCCGUUACUGACGCUGAGGAGCGAAAGCGUGGGGAGCGAACAGG